rnacentral:rRNA from 1 species
UGCGGAUGGAUCAUCG